rnacentral:lncRNA from 1 species
AUAUAUGGAGUCCGGCUACGGUGCUUGUAAAAAUACAAAGCACUUCGUGCUUGUAAAUUUUUUACCGUUAGAUCUCUUCAUUUGAUUAUUUUUACCCGUUAGAUUAUACUAUUCAACCAACCACCCACUAAAUCUUAGGGGGCCCACAUCAUUCUAACCGCACAUCUCUUAAUUUAAAGAUCGAAAAUUUAUAAGCACCAAUGACUUGAUACUUUUAAAUGACUUGAUAUUUUUAAAAGCAUAGGAGCAUAUUUCUAUAUAUAUAUAUGUAUCCUCUUUUUGGAUAC